rnacentral:tRNA from 7 species
GUCGGGGUGGCGGAACUGGCAGACGCGCAAGCUUGAGGGGCUUGUGGCCGCAAGGCUGUGGAGGUUCAAGUCCUCUCCCCGACA